CCAGGCUCAGGCUGGAUCACCUCCUUAGAGUUUGGAAUCCUGGCUCAGAGUGAACGCUGGCGGUAGGCCUAACACAUGCAAGUCGAACGGCAGCACAGAGGAGCUUGCUCCUUGGGUGGCGAGUGGCGGACGGGUGAGGAAUACAUCGGAAUCUACUUUUUCGUGGGGGAUAACGUAGGGAAACUUACGCUAAUACCGCAUACGACCUACGGGUGAAAGCAGGGGAUCUUCGGACCUUGCGCGAUUGAAUGAGCCGAUGUCGGAUUAGCUAGUUGGCGGGGUAAAGGCCCACCAAGGCGACGAUCCGUAGCUGGUCUGAGAGGAUGAUCAGCCACACUGGAACUGAGACACGGUCCAGACUCCUACGGGAGGCAGCAGUGGGGAAUAUUGGACAAUGGGCGCAAGCCUGAUCCAGCCAUACCGCGUGGGUGAAGAAGGCCUUCGGGUUGUAAAGCCCUUUUGUGGGAAAGAAAUCCAGCC
rnacentral:rRNA from 1 species